GGCUUUACCCUGCAAGUCGAGCGGUAGCACAGGGGAGCUUGCUCCCUGGGUGACGAGCGGCGGACGGGAGAGUAAUGUCUGGGAAACUGCCUGAUGGAGGGGGAUAACUACUGGAAACGGUAGCUAAUACCGCAUAACGUCGCAAGACCAAAGAGGGGGACCUUCGGGCCUCUUGCCAUCAGAUGUGCCCAGAUGGGAUUAGCUAGUAGGUGGGGUAAUGGCUCACCUAGGCGACGAUCCCUAGCUGGUCUGAGAGGAUGACCAGCCACACUGGAACUGAGACACGGUCCAGACUCCUACGGGAGGCAGCAGUGGGGAAUAUUGCACAAUGGGCGCAAGCCUGAUGCAGCCAUGCCGCGUGUGUGAAGAAGGCCUUCGGGUUGUAAAGCACUUUCAGCGAGGAGGAAGGUGGUGAACUUAAUACGUUCAUCAAUUGACGUUACUCGCAGAAGAAGCACCGGCUAACUCCGUGCCAGCAGCCGCGGUAAUACGGAGGGUGCAAGCGUUAAUCGGAAUUACUGGGCGUAAAGCGCACGCAGGCGGUUUGUUAAGUCAGAUGUGAAAUCCCCGGGCUCAACCUGGGAACUGCAUUUGAAACUGGCAAGCUAGAGUCUCGUAGAGGGGGGUAGAAUUCCAGGUGUAACGGUGAAAUGCGUAAAGAUCUGGAGGAAUACCGGUGGCGAAGGCGGGCCCCCUGGACGAAAACU
rnacentral:rRNA from 1 species